GGAGUCUAGCAUGUGCGCGAGUCAUUGGGAUUUAUAAAUGAAACCUAAAGGCGCAAUGAAAGUAAAGGUAUACCUUUGUGUGUAUUUAGGGAAGAUGAGUUAUUCUAUGUAAUAGCUCCGCACUCCCGGGGCGUCUCUUUGUCUCUUGCUUUUUGUGAUGAGAUGAGGCGCACCUAGAGCGUACACGCUGGGACCCGAAAGAUGGUGAACUAUGCCUGGUCAGGACGAAGUCAGGGGAAACCCUGAUGGAGGUCCGUAGCGAUUCUGACGUGCAAAUCGAUCGUAAGAACUGGGUAUAGGGGCGAAAGACUAAUCGAACCAUCUAGUAGCUGGUUCCCUCCGAAGUUUCCCUCAGGAUAGCUGGCGUUUAUUUGUUAAGAGUCUCAUCCGGUAAAGCGAAUGAUUAGAGGCAUUGGGGUCGAAACGGCCUCAACCUAUUCUCAAACUUUAAAUGGGUGAGAUCUUCGGCUUGCUUAAAUAAUGAAGCCGUAAGAUUGGAUCAAAGUGCCAAGUGGGCCAUUUUUGGUAAGCAGAACUGGCGCUGUGGGAUGAACCAAACGUAGAGUUAAAGCGCCUAAAUUAACGCUUAUGGGAUACCAUGAAAGGCGUUGGUAACUUAAGACAGCAGGACGGUGGCCAUGGAA
rnacentral:rRNA from 1 species